rnacentral:lncRNA from 1 species
UGAAUGUAGAGUGAACAAAUUCCCUUUGCUGACCUUAGGGAUUGUGUGGUAAAUUGAAGAUGUCUCCUUUGAAAAGCAAUGAGAAUGAAAAGAUUUAAAUGUAGCCUGUUUGAAGAUGAUUUUAGCAAGGGCUGGUCCUUUCAGAAGAAGCCAGUGAAGGGAAGUGGAGAGGGGUGCAUGUCUUCCUCAGCCUCUUGGAGAUGCAAGUUCAGCUCUUCAGCUCAAACAGAGAAAAUUUAAGACUCAGAAUUACUGUUCUUCGAUGGACUGACCUUCUCAGCUGGACCUUGGCAGCUAGAGAAGCAAAAGCCCAAGACGUUAAAGGUGAAGAGGAGAAAGUUGAAGGCCAGACUACCUGUAGGGAUCUGACAGCUGCAUGUGUUGGAUGCUGAUGUGCUGCUGAAAUGGAUUUGAGGAACAAUUUGUCUGCUCUAAUUUGAUA